CGAUAAUGACGACGACGACGAGGAGGAUGAGGAUGACGACGACUUCGAAGACGACGCCUACAACAAGAACAACAACAACAACCACAACAACAACAACAACCAAAAAAAACAACAACAACAAGCACAACAGCAACAAUAACAACAACAACAACGACAACAACAAGAACAACAAUAACAACAACACUGACAACAACAACAACGAAAACAGCAAUCACAACAAGGAGAACAACAACAACAACAACAACAACAUCAACGAGGACGACCACGACGUCCACAACGACGACAACAUAGGCAAUGACGAGAACAACAACAACAAUGACAACAACAAAAACAAU
rnacentral:lncRNA from 1 species